AACAGCCAGAAGUCCAAAAUGGAUUUCACUGGGCCACAAUCAAGGUGUCGGGAGGGCUGCAGUUCCCCCAGAGGCUCUAGGGGAAAAUCCAUUUCCUUACCUUUUCCAGCUUCUAGUAGCUGCCUUUAUUCUUUAGCUUGUGACCCCAUCUUCCAUCUUCAAAGCCAAUGUUUAGCAUCUUCUCCCUCUGACUCUGCCUCUCCCUGCUUCACUAUUUUCUUCUCUUCUGUGUCAAAUCUCCUUCUGAUGAGGACACAUGUGGUUUCAUUUGGGGCCCACCCUGUAAUCCAAGAUAAUCCUCCCCGCCCCAAGAUCCUUAACUUAAUCACAUCAGCAAAGUCUCUUUUUGCCAAAUAAGGUAACAUUCGCAGAUUCCGAGGAUCGGAACCUGGAUAUGUUUGGGAGCCAUUAUUGAGCCUAUCACAUCAGCUUUUUUGCUCCUGUCUUACCCCAACUUUUAUUUUUCAUAGGUUCAACCAGGAAAAUAGAAAUCCUUUUUGGACUUUUAACGGAAGGAAUUGGUUACACUAGUAUUGGAAACCUGGGAUCCUGGAGAAAUGCCGGAGGGAAGGGAAUGUUGCCCAGAGAUGAAUACCUGCAGAAAGCAGAUACCUCCCCCUUGGGUUAGGUAACAAAAGGGAGGUUUUAGUACCAGAAUCCAAGAGUGAAUUCACUGCCGAGGAUGCUGGACAGCAAGCGCUGGAACCACUCGUACAGAUAACCUAGGAACAGAGAGAGAAGAAGAAAAGGAGCAUCUUGCUUCCUCAUGUUUUAUCUCUCUAUAGACCACUAAUGCAAGUUUCCUACAUUGCCAGUGAAGUGCAUUUGUGUGGACCAUCCCUUGCGAACGAAUAGGGGACUGUUUAAAUGUGGUCUGGUAACAAAAAUGGGUGAACAUUGAUUGCUCGAAAGCUCUUAAUCCCCAACAGUAAAUAUAUUUGGAAAAUCUCCCUUUAAAAGCAUCAGAUGUUCUCUGUUUUUCAUUAUCUGAAUCUAUCUAUAACAAUUGACCCUGCUGUUCUAAACACUGUUUUUACAGUUACAUUUCCUGAGGACUUUAAAAAUAAAUGUGGAGGGUUAAGCAGCAUGAGUACACUGGGGUGAAUUUAUCUUGUUUCCAAAUAAAUACAAAUUGCAAAUGGCAAAACAACUUUGUAAUACUGUAGGAAGAGAUCAGAAUGUAUUCUUUCCCACCACGAGAAGCAUGCUCAUUAUAGCAGGAGCCUAUGUAUGUUCUCCAUUGGGAUCUUGACCUUCAGAACAAGAUGUAAAAUAAUUAGCAUUAUCAUAGCAAUGGGAGCUGAAAAUACACUACCUUAACAGAUCUGCCUCCUGCACAAAGAAAGCAGCUAGCACAAGUAGACAGCAGGGACUUGUAAAAAUCAACAGUUAUGGAAUACCUACUAUGCGCUAGGAAGUUUAAAAAUAUAUUCAUUUAAUUGAAAGAACAUAGGAUUAAGAAUCAGAACAACUACACCUAGAUCUCAACUCUGCCUUCCAGAAUUACAUGAUUCUGGAAAAUGUAUUUAACCUUUCCACUUUAGUUUUCUUGGGUGUAAAAUAGGAGUAAGAAUAGUAAUCUCAUAAAGAAAUUGUAAAGAUGACAAGUAAAUAUGUGAAAAUUUGUAAGGCUGCUGUAUAAAUAUUUCUGUUGAGAAGUAUAAAUUGCUACUUAAAUAUUUCUGUUUUUAUGAGUGUUAGUAUAAGAAGUAUUAAAAUAAUGCCAACCACCUUAGGCAUUUGGCUGCAAAACAAGAUUGCAGCUUUAGAAAUUAAGAUGGAAUUUUGAAGGUGUUUA
ensembl:lncRNA